UGACCUCUGUGUGGCUGGAAUUAUG
rnacentral:piRNA from 1 species